AGCGAACGCUGGCGGCAGGCCUAACACAUGCAAGUCGAGCGCCCCGCAAGGGGAGCGGCAGACGGGAGAGUAACACGUGGGAACGUGCCUAUCAGUUCGGAACAACCCAGGGAAACUUGGGCUAAUACCGGAUACGCCCUUACGGGGAAAGAUUUAUCGCUGAUAGAGCGGCCCGCGUCUGAUUAGCUAGUUGGUGAGGUAAUGGCUCACCAAGGCGACGAUCAGUAGCUGGUCUGAGAGGAUGAUCAGCCUCACUGGGACUGAGACACGGCCCAGACUCCUACGGGAGGCAGCAGUGGGGAAUAUUGGACAAUGGGCGCAAGCCUGAUCCAGCCAUGCCGCGUGGGUGAUGAAGGCCCUAGGGUUGUAAAGCCCUUUCGGCGGGGAAGAUAAUGACGGUACCCGCAGAAGAAGCCCCGGCUAA
rnacentral:rRNA from 1 species